rnacentral:lncRNA from 1 species
AGGAGCAGUGGCUGGUGCAGCUGCUGGAGGAGUAGAAACAGCUGUGGGUGGAGCUGAGGCAGGUGCAGUAGCAGGGGCAGGAGUUUUAGGCUUUGUGGGAGCAGCAGCUGGUGGUGUAGUAGCCUUAGCACCAUCUGGUGCUUUGGCUGGUGCAGCUGCAGGUGUCUGACCUGUGACACUGACCACUACAAUGCACAAAAAUGAAACUAAAAAUACAAUCUUCCUAUCCAUUGCUUCAAAUAAUCAAGAAUCUAUAGAAUAGAAGAGAUG